rnacentral:tRNA from 1 species
GGUCCAGUAACUCAGUCGGUAGAGUAUCUGCCUUUUAAGCAGAGAGUCGACGGUUCAAGUCCGUCCUGGAUCACCA